CGGCGAGUCAGGGGAANCCCUGAUGGAGGUCCGUAGCGAUUCUGACGUGCAAAUCGAUCGUCGGAGCUGGGUAUAGGGGCGAAAGACUAAUCGAACCAUCUAGUAGCUGGUUCCCUCCGAAGUUUCCCUCAGGAUAGCUGGCGCUCGUUGAACCGAGUCCCAUCCGGUAAAGCGAAUGAUUAGAGGCCUUGGGGUCGAAACGACCUCAACCUAUUCUCAAACUUUAAAUGGGUGGGAACCGCGGCUUGUUUGAACGUGAAGCCGCGGACCACGGAUCGGAGUGCCCAGUGGGCCACUUUUGGUAAGCAGAACUGGCGCUGUGGGAUGAACCAAACGCGGGGUUAAGGCGCCCGAAUCGACGCUCAUUCGAAACCAUGAAAGGUGUUGGUUGCUUAAGACAGCAGGACGGUGGCCAUGGAAGUCGGAAUCCGCUAAGGAGUGUGUAACAACUCACCUGCCGAAGCAACUAGCCCUGAAAAUGGAUGGCGCUGAAGCGUCGUGCCUAUACCCCGCCGCCGGCGGCAGAGGGCCGGUCCUCGUGGCCGGCCGCGAAGCCCCGGUGAGUAGGAGGGUCGCGGCGGUGAGCGCAGAAGGGUCUGGGCGUGAGCCUGCCUGGAGCCGCCGUCGGUGCAGAUCUUGGUGGUAGUAGCAAAUACUCCAGCGAGGCCCUGGAGGACUGAUGUGGAGAAGGGUUCCGUGUGAACAGCCGUUGCACACGGGUCAGUCGAUCCUAAGCCCUAGGAGAAAUCCGAUGUUGAUGGUCGCGGGAUGUCCGAAAGCGUGGUUCGCUCCGCGUCUGAACGAAACCCCGUCCGUCGGGCGAAAGGGAAUCCGGUUCCUAUUCCGGAACCCGGUUGCGGAACCGCACUCACGAUCCUCGUAUUGACACGGUAACGUGAAAGACCCCAGAGAAGCCGUCUGGAGCCCCGGGAAGAGUUUUCUUUUCUGCCUGAGCGUUCGGGUUCCAUGGAAUCCUCUCGCAGGGAGAUAUGGAAUGGAACGCGAAGAGCACCGCAGUUGCUGCGGUGUCCGGGGAGUCCCGUCGGUCCUUGAAAAUCUGGGUGAGGGUCACGUGGAGGCGUCGCACCGGCUCGUACCCAUAUCCGCAGCAGGUCUCCAAGGUC
rnacentral:rRNA from 1 species